rnacentral:misc_RNA from 1 species
GACUUAGAAAGAGAAUCCAUCACUACAAAAAAAGCGAGUUUGGUUGGCCAAAGAGUUCAUAGAUUAAAAGUAAAAUGGAAAGAGAAAUCAAAACUCCUAAUCUGAGUGAAUUAUAAUUAGGUCCUUGCAUAUUGACAUAAUUCCUGUUAUAAACAAGUUGAGGUCAAAUGCAGAUGCUGUUAUGGGUAGAUCUUAAGACACAAAUCCAAUCCAAAAUACAUGAACAAACCCAAGGAAAAAAUAGAUAGAGAAAUUGCAUAAAAUCCAAGAUUGCGUAGUACACGGCUAAAAUCACAUUGAACUGCUGCUAAAUAAAAUUUAUAAACAAAUAAAAGAGAUUAAGCAGCUCAAGUGCUCAACU